rnacentral:rRNA from 1 species
AACGAACGCUGGCGGCAUGCCUAACACAUGCAAGUCGAACGAGAUCUUCGGGUCUAGUGGCGCACGGGUGCGUAACGCGUGGGAAUCUGCCCUUUGGUUCGGAAUAACAGUUGGAAACGACUGCAAAUACCGGAUGAUGACGAAAGUCCAAAGAUUUAUCGCCAGAGGAUGAGCCCGCGUAGGAUUAGCUAGUUGGUGUGGUAAAGGCGCACCAAGGCGACGAUCCUUAGCUGGUCUGAGAGGAUGAUCAGCCACACUGGGACUGAGACACGGCCCAGACUCCUACGGGAGGCAGCAGUGGGGAAUAUUGGACAAUGAGCGAAAGCCUGAUCCAGCAAUGCCGCGUGAGUGAUGAAGGCCUUAGGGUUGUAAAGCUCUUUUACCCGGGAUGAUAAUGACAGUACCGGGAGAAUAAGCUCCGGCUAACUCCGUGCCAGCAGCCGCCGUAA